rnacentral:rRNA from 1 species
GGGCCCGCACAAGCGGUGGAGCAUGUGGUUUAAUUCGACGCAACGCGAAGAACCUUACCUGGGCUUGAACUGUCGGUAUAGGGACCCGAAAGGGCGACGAUCCCGGGCAACCGGGAAGCCGAUAGAGGUGCUGCAUGGCUGUCGUCAGCUCGUGUCGUGAGAUGUUGGGUUAAGUCCCGCAACGAGCGCAACCCUUGUCUUUAGUUGCCAGCGAGUCAUGUCGGGCACUCUAAGGAGACUGCCUCGGAUAACGAGGAGGAAGGUGGGGAUGACGUCAAGUCAGCAUGGCCUUUAUGUCCAGGGCUACACACGUGCUACAAUGGGCGGUACAGAAGGACGCGAGACCGCGAGGUCAAGCCAACCCUUAAAACCGUUCUCAGUUCGGAUUGCAGGCUGCAAUUCGCCUGCAUGAAGUCGGAAUCGCUAGUAAUCGCGGAUCAGCUACGCCGCGGUGAAUACGUUCUCGGGCCUU